rnacentral:rRNA from 1 species
CGUAAACCAUGCACCGAAGCUGCGGCAGCGACACUCGAGGUGUUGUUGGGUAGGGGAGCGUUCUGUAAGCCUGUGAAGGUGGCCUGUGAGGGUUGCUGGAGGUAUCAGAAGUGCGAAUGCUGACAUAAGUAACGAUAAAGCGGGUGAAAAGCCCGCUCGACCGGAAGACCAAGGGUUCCUGUCCAACGUUAAUCGGGGCAGGGUGAGUCGACCCCUAAGGCGAGGCCGAAAGGCGUAGUCGAUGGGAAACGGGUUAAUAUUCCCGUACUUGGUGUUACUGCGAAGGGGGACGGAGAAGGCUAUGUUGGCCGGGCGACGGUUGUCCCGGUUUAAGCGUGUAGGUGUGUGUUCCAGGUAAAUCCGGUUCACUUUAACACUGAGGCGUGACGACGAGGCACUACGGUGCUGAAGCAACAAAUGCCCUGCUUCCAGGAAAAGCCUCUAAGCAUCAGGUAACAUCAAAUCGUACCCCAAACCGACACAGGUGGUCAGGUAGAGAAUACCAAGGCGCUUGAGAGAACUCGGGUGAAGGAACUAGGCAAAAUGGUGCCGUAACUUCGGGAGAAGGCACGCUGACACGUAGGUGAAGUGAUUUACUCAUGGAGCUGAAGUCAGUCGAAGAUACCAGCUGGCUGCAACUGUUUAUUAAAAACACAGCACUGUGCAAACACGAAAGUGGACGUAUACGGUGUGACGCCUGCCCGGUGCCGGAAGGUUAAUUGAUGGGGUCAGCGCAAGCGAAGCUCCUGAUCGAAGCCCCGGUAAACGGCGGCCGUAACUAUAACGGUCCUAAGGUAGCGAAAUUCCUUGUCGGGUAAGUUCCGACCUGCACGAAUGGCGUAAUGAUGGCCAGGCUGUCUCCACCCGAGACUCAGUGAAAUUGAACUCGCUGUGAAGAUGCAGUGUACCCGCGGCAAGACGGAAAGACCCCGUGAACCUUUACUAUAGCUUGACACUGAACAUUGAGCCUUGAUGUGUAGGAUAGGUGGGAGGCUUUGAAGUGUGGACGCCAGUCUGCAUGGAGCCGACCUUGAAAUACCACCCUUUAAUGUUUGAUGUUCUAACGUGGACCCGUUACCCGGGUUGCGGACAGUGUCUGGUGGGUAGUUUGACUGGGGCGGUCUCCUCCUAAAGAGUAACGGAGGAGCACGAAGGUUGGCUAAUCCUGGUCGGACAUCAGGAGGUUAGUGCAAUGGCAUAAGCCAGCUUGACUGCGAGCGUGACGGCGCGAGCAGGUGCGAAAGCAGGUCAUAGUGAUCCGGUGGUUCUGAAUGGAAGGGCCAUCGCUCAACGGAUAAAAGGUACUCCGGGGAUAACAGGCUGAUACCGCCCAAGAGUUCAUAUCGACGGCGGUGUUUGGCACCUCGAUGUCGGCUCAUCACAUCCUGGGGCUGAAGUAGGUCCCAAGGGUAUGGCUGUUCGCCAUUUAAAGUGGUACGCGAGCUGGGUUUAGAACGUCGUGAGACAGUUCGGUCCCUAUCUGCCGUGGGCGCUGGAGAACUGAGGGGGGCUGCUCCUAGUACGAGAGGACCGGAGUGGACGCAUCACUGGUGUUCGGGUUGUCAUGCCAAUGGCACUGCCCGGUAGCUAAAUGCGGAAGAGAUAAGUGCUGAAAGCAUCUAAGCACGAAACUUGCCCCGAGAUGAGUUCUCCCUGAGACUUUAGGUCUCCUGAAGGAACGUUGAAGACGACGACGUUGAUAGGCCGGGUGUGUAAGCGCAGCGAUGCGUUGAGCUAACCGGUACUAAUGAACCGUGAGGCUUAACCUU